UCUACUGCUCUUUAAGAAAGGUUAUAAAAAGUUUUCAAUAAUUAUCGAUACCGAAUGAUAUGAAACAUUAUAUCACGAUAAAUUUUUUUGAUAUAUCACCCAGCCCUAAUUCAAAUACUAAUUUUUAUCAGUAACUGACAGCAGGCCACAGCUUAACUAGUCAUUGUUGUGCUCAUGUGGUGACCAUGACUUCCUGACCUGCAGGGGUCGCUGUGAUUAAACGCACUGCACAUGUUUAUCAGGAUUCAUAUCAUGAAUAUUAAUAAGAUGUGUGUGUGAUUGUAUGCAGCUGCAGGUGUUCUGUCCUUUCUGACCAUUCAUCCAGCAUCAGUUGCUGCGGUCAAACAGAUUCUGCCCAAAGCACUCACCGCUGCAGGCGUUAACGUGCUGCCACAUGUGACCCCUCUCUGGCCCGUCCCAUUGUCUCCAUGGCGAUAAAGCCCUCCAUUAACAUUGUGUGAGGUGACCCGGGAGAGUCUGUGUAAGAGGAUCACAGAAUGCUGGAGUCAGCAGGAUUACAUUCCUCAUCAUCCUAUUACACACAGGUGAUUGGCACCCCUCAGAGGGCCAGUGUCCCCACCGGUGUCCUGUUAACCAGCCCGCAAACACCCACCACACACAUCCACACGCCACAGACUCAAGAGUCCUCGCCCUGGUCAACCGGAUCGUCUGUUCUUCUGCUGUUUCCUGUUGUGACCGGUAGCGGUGCAUUUCCUUCUGGAUUGAUCACCUGUGACUGACUGUAUUCGUCAUCUGAGUGCAUGAACCGAACCUUGAAGUCCGUACCGUGACGUUCGGGAUGAAUACAUUACACCCAUAAUUAUAACUGUGAGGUUACAAAAUAAUAUGUCUAUAUUAAAGGGAUAAUCCAAUCAAAAAUGAAAUUGUCAUCAUUUACUCGCCCUCAUGUCAUUCC